rnacentral:rRNA from 1 species
GAUGAACGCUGGCGGCGUGCCUAAUACAUGCAAGUCGAGCGAACAGACGAGGAGCUUGCUCCUCUGACGUUAGCGGCGGACGGGUGAGUAACACGUGGAUAACCUACCUAUAAGACUGGGAUAACUUCGGGAAACCGGAGCUAAUACCGGAUAAUAUAUUGAACCGCAUGGUUCAAUAGUGAAAGACGGUUUUGCUGUCACUUAUAGAUGGAUCCGCGCCGCAUUAGCUAGUUGGUAAGGUAACGGCUUACCAAGGCAACGAUGCGUAGCCGACCUGAGAGGGUGAUCGGCCACACUGGAACUGAGACACGGUCCAGACUCCUACGGGAGGCAGCAGUAGGGAAUCUUCCGCAAUGGGCGCAAGCCUGACGGAGCAACGCCGCGUGAGUGAUGAAGGUCUUCGGAUCGUAAAACUCUGUUAUUAGGGAAGAACAAAUGUGUAAGUAACUAUGCACGUCUUGACGGUACCUAAUCAGAAAGCAACGGCUAACUACGUG